AGAGUUUGAUCCUGGCUCAGGAUGAACGCUGGCGGCGUGCUUAACACAUGCAAGUCGAGCGAAGCACUUAUGAUGAUUCUUCGGAUGAAUCAUUUGUGACUGAGCGGCGGACGGGUGAGUAACGCGUGAGUAACCUGCCUCAUACAGGGGAAUAACAGUUAGAAAUGACUGCUAAUGCCGCAUAAGCGCACAGGGCCGCAUGGCCCGGUGUGAAAGACUCCGGUGGUAUGAGAUGGACUCGCGUCUGAUUAGCUAGUUGGCAGGGUAACGGCCUACCAAGGCGACGAUCAGUAGCCGGCCUGAGAGGGUGAACGGCCACAUUGGGACUGAGACACGGCCCAAACUCCUACGGGAGGCAGCAGUGGGGAAUAUUGCACAAUGGGGGAAACCCUGAUGCAGCGACGCCGCGUGAGUGAAGAAGUAUUUCGGUAUGUAAAGCUCUAUCAGCAGGGAAGAAAAUGACGGUACCUGACUAAGAAGCCCCGGCUAACUACGUGCCAGCAGCCGCGGUAAUACGUAGGGGGCAAGCGUUAUCCGGAUUUACUGGGUGUAAAGGGAGCGUAGACGGCUUUGCAAGUCUGACGUGAAACUCCGGGGCUCAACUCCGGAACUGCGUUGGAAACUGUAAGGCUUGAGUGCCGGAGAGGUAAGCGGAAUUCCUAGUGUAGCGGUGAAAUGCGUAGAUAUUAGGAGGAACACCAGUGGCGAAGGCGGCUUACUGGACGGCAACUGACGUUGAGGCUCGAAAGCGUGGGGAGCAAACAGGAUUAGAUACCCUGGUAGUCCACGCGGUAAACGAUGAGUACUAGGUGUUGGGGGACAAAGUCCUUCGGUGCCGCCGCAAACGCAUUAAGUAUUCCACCUGGGGAGUACGUUCGCAAGAAUGAAGCUCAAAGGAAUUGACGGGGACCCGCACAAGCGGUGGAGCAUGUGGUUUAAUUCGAAGCAACGCGAAGAACCUUACCAAGUCUUGACAUCGAUUCGACGGGAGUGUAAUGACUCCUUUCCCUUCGGGGACACUUAGACAGGUGGUGCAUGGUUGUCGUCAGCUCGUGUCGUGAGAUGUUGGGUUAAGUCCCGCAACGAGCUCAACCCUUACCUUUAGUUGCUACGCAAGAGCACUCUAAAGGGACUGCCGUUGACAAAACGGAGGAAGGUGGGGAUGACGUCAAAUCAUCAUGCCCCUUAUGACCUGGGCUACACACGUACUACAAUGGCAAUCAACAAAGAGAAGCAAGACAGUGAUGUGGAGCAAAUCUCAAAAAAUUGUCCCAGUUCAGAUUGUAGGCUGCAACUCGCCUACAUGAAGUCGGAAUUGCUAGUAAUCGCGGAUCAGAAUGCCGCGGUGAAUACGUUCCCGGGCCUUGUACACACCGCCCGUCACACCAUGGGAGUCGGUAACACCCGAAGUCGGUAGUCUAACAGCAAUGAGGACGCCGCCGAAGGUGGGAUUGAUGACUGGGGUGAAGUCGUAACAAGGUA
rnacentral:rRNA from 1 species